CCUACGGGAGGCAGCAGUGAGGAAUAUUGGUCAAUGGGAGAGAUCCUGAACCAGCCAAGCCGCGUGCGGGAAGACGGCCCUAUGGGUUGUAAACCUCUUUUGUCGGAGAACAAAACCCGGGACGUGUCCCGGACUGCGUGUAUCCGACGAAAAAGCAUCGGCAAACUCCGUGCCAGCAGCCGCGGUAAUACGGGGGAUGCGAGCGUUAUCCGGAUUUAUUGGGUUUAAAGGGUGCGUAGGCGGUCCGUUAAGUCAGCGGGAAAAUUGCGGGGCUCAACCCCGUCGAGCCGUUGAAACUGGCAGACUUGAGUGGGCGAGAAGUACGCGGAAUGCGCGGUGUAGCGGUGAAAUGCAUAGAUAUCGCGCAGAACUCCGAUUGCGAAGGCAGCGUACCGGCGCCAGACUGACGCUGAGGCACGAAAGCGUGGGGAUCGAACAGGAUUAGAUACCCCUGUAGUC
rnacentral:rRNA from 1 species